GACAGAGGGUGCAAACGUUGCUCGGAAUACUGGGCGUAAAGCGCGUGUAGGUGGCCACGCAAGUCAGGUGUGAAAUCCCAGGGCUCAACCCUGGAACUGCAUUUGAUACUGGCAGGCUAGAGUGUGGUAGAGGAUAGUGGAAUUCCCGGUGUAGCGGUGAAAUGCGUAGAUAUCGGGAGGAACAUCAGUGGCGAAGGCGGCUAUCUGGACUAACACUGACACUGAGACUCGAAAGCGUGGGGAGCAAACAGG
rnacentral:rRNA from 1 species